rnacentral:pre_miRNA from 1 species
CUUGGCACUGUCAGAAUUAUCGCUGAGCACGUUAGAUAUCAGUGAUUCUACAGUUCCAAACU